GUGCCAGCCGCCGCGGUAAUACGUAGGGGGCGAGCGUUGUCCGGAAUUACUGGGCGUAAAGGGCGUGUAGGCGGCCUUUCAAGUCAGCUGUGAAAUUCCCCGGCUCAACCGGGGGCCUGCAGUUGAAACUGGAGGGCUUGAGUGCAGAAGAGGAGGGUGGAAUUCCUGGUGUAGCGGUGAAAUGCGUAGAUAUCAGGAGGAACACCGGUGGCGAAGGCGACCUUCUGGUCUGUUACUGACGCUGAGGCGCGAAAGCUAGGGGAGCGAACAGGAUUAGAUACCCUGGUAGUCCUAGCUGUAAACGCUGGGUACUAGGUGUAGGGGGUUUAGAUACCUUCUGUGCCGUAGUUAACGCAUUAA
rnacentral:rRNA from 1 species